CCCCUAAGGCGAGGCCGAAAGGCGUAGUCGAUGGGAAACAGGUUAAUAUUCCUGUACUUGGUGUUACUGCGAAGGGGGGACGGAGAAGGCUAUGUUAGCCGGGCGACGGUUGUCCCGGUUUAAGCAUGUAGGCUGGUUAUCCAGGCAAAUCCGGAUAACCAAGGCUGAGGUGUGAUGACGAGGCACUACGGUGCUGAAGUAACAAAUGCCCUGCUUCCAGGAAAAGCCUCUAAGCAUCAGGUAACAUCAAAUCGUACCCCAAACCGACACAGGUGGUCAGGUAGAGAAUACCAAGGCGCUUGAGAGAACUCGGGUGAAGGAACUAGGCAAAAUGGUGCCGUAACUUCGGGAGAAGGCACGCUGGUGUGUAGGUGAAGUCCCUGCGGAUGGAGCUGAGACCAGUCGAAGAUACCAGCUGGCUGCAACUGUUUAUUAAAAACACAGCACUGUGCAAACACGAAAGUGGACGUAUACGGUGUGACGCCUGCCCGGUGCCGGAAGGUUAAUUGAUGGGGUUAUCCGUAAGGAGAAGCUCUUGAUCGAAGCCCCG
rnacentral:rRNA from 1 species